rnacentral:rRNA from 1 species
AAUGGGUCAGCGACUUAUAUUCUGUAGCAAGGUUAACCGAAUAGGGGAGCCGAAGGGAAACCGAGUCUUAACUGGGCGUUAAGUUGCAGGGUAUAGACCCGAAACCCGGUGAUCUAGCCAUGGGCAGGUUGAAGGUUGGGUAACACUAACUGGAGGACCGAACCGACUAAUGUUGAAAAAUUAGCGGAUGACUUGUGGCUGGGGGUGAAAGGCCAAUCAAACCGGGAGAUAGCUGGUUCUCCCCGAAAGCUAUUUAGGUAGCGCCUCGUGAAUUCAUCUCCGGGGGUAGAGCACUGUUUCGGCAAGGGGGUCAUCCCGACUUACCAACCCGAUGCAAACUGCGAAUACCGGAGAAUGUUAUCACGGGAGACACACGGCGGGUGCUAACGUCCGUCGUGAAGAGGGAAACAACCCAGACCGCCAGCUAAGGUCCCAAAGUCAUGGUUAAGUGGGAAACGAUGUGGGAAGGCCCAGACAGCCAGGAUGUUGGCUUAGAAGCAGCCAUCAUUUAAAGAAAGCGUAAUAGCUCACUGGUCGAGUCGGCCUGCGCGGAAGAUGUAACGGGGCUAAACCAUGCACCGAAGCUGCGGCAGCGACACUGUGUGUUGUUGGGUAGGGGAGCGUUCUGUAAGCCUGCGAAGGUGUGCUGUGAGGCAUGCUGGAGGUAUCAGAAGUGCGAAUGCUGACAUAAGUAACGAUAAAGCGGGUGAAAAGCCCGCUCGCCGGAAGACCAAGGGUUCCUGUCCAACGUUAAUCGGGGCAGGGUGAGUCGACCCCUAAGGCGAGGCCGAAAGGCGUAGUCGAUGGGAAACAGGUUAAUAUUCCUGUACUUGGUGUUACUGCGAAGGGGGGACGGAGAAGGCUAUGUUGGCCGGGCGACGGUUGUCCCGGUUUAAGCGUGUAGGCUGGUUUUCCAGGCAAAUCCGGAAAAUCAAGGCUGAGGCGUGAUGACGAGGCACUACGGUGCUGAAGCAACAAAUGCCCUGCUUCCAGGAAAAGCCUCUAAGCAUCAGGUAACAUCAAAUCGUACCCCAAACCGACACAGGUGGUCAGGUAGAGAAUACCAAGGCGCUUGAGAGAACUCGGGUGAAGGAACUAGGCAAAAUGGUGCCGUAACU